AACGAACGCUGGCGGCGUGCCUAACACAUGCAAGUCGUACGAGAAAUCCUGGGCAACCGGGAGAGUAAAGUGGCGCACGGGUGAGUAACACGUGGGUCACCUGCCCUUGAGUUGGGGAUAACUCCGCGAAAGCGGGGCUACAACCGGAUAAUCUGAGACUCUCACUGGAGGUUCGCAUCAAAGGUGGCCUCUGGAUGACAGCUAUUACGCAAGGAUGGGCACGCGUACCAUUAGCGUGUUGGUAGGGUAACGGCCCAUCAAGGCAACGAUGGGUAGCUGGGAUGAGAGGAUGGCCAGCCACACUGGAACUGAGACACGGUCCAGACUCCUACGGGAGGCAGCAGGGGGGAAUCUUGCGCAAUGGGGGAAACCCUGACGCAGCAACGCCGCGUGGGUGAUGUAGGCCUUCGGGUCGUAAAGCUCUGUCGGUAGGAACGAUGGAUUUUAUGGCUAACAUCCAUGAGAUCUGACGGUACCUGCAAAGGAAGCACCGGCUAACUCUGUGCCAGCAGCCGCAGUAAGAC
rnacentral:rRNA from 1 species